UACGGAGGGAGCUAGCGUUGUUCGGAAUUACUGGGCGUAAAGCGCACGUAGGCGGCUUUGUAAGUUAGAGGUGAAAGCCCGGAGCUCAACUCCGGAAUUGCCUUUAAGACUGCAUCGCUUGAAUUCGGGAGAGGGAUGUGGAAUUCCAGGUGUAGCGGUGAAAUGCGUAGAUAUCUGGAGGAACACCGGUGGCGAAGGCGGCAUCCUGGACCGAUAUUGACGCUGAUGCGCGAAAGCCAGGGGAGCAAACGGG
rnacentral:rRNA from 1 species